CCUCUGCAUUUCCAUCAACUGCAUCUAAGUAAGUCUGCCAUAAAGAAUGAAGUCGGCUCCUGCUACUCCUACUUAUGCUUUCACAGAGCAAUUUGUACGGGGCUGYCGAGCUCUCCUCUCAUGAGCGACAGGAAGAAGCAGUGCCUCUCAUAAGAGGAAACCUCUCCGCUAACUGCUGGAUCCGAGCUUGCCGUUUCCCAUUAUAAGGAUGAAGCAAACCAGGAGCUUGCUAAUGGCUGYGGGACGUGUAAUUCUGUUCCUUGCACAAGGAAAGCGUCGCAAUCUCUGCCUUCCAGUGGGAGUCGAUGGCCAACAGGAAAGAAGCAAAUUCAACAGUCAAGUGGCAUUACCUGUGAAUCUCUGCUACAGUAACAGUUU